rnacentral:rRNA from 1 species
UACGUAGGGUGCGAGCGUUAAUCGGAAUUACUGGGCGUAAAGCGUGCGCAGGCGGUUUUGUAAGCCAGAUGUGAAAGCCCCGGGCUUAACCUGGGAAUGGCAUUUGGGACUGCAAGGCUUGAGUGCGGCAGAGGAGACUGGAAUUCCUGGUGUAGCAGUGAAAUGCGUAGAUAUCAGGAGGAAUACCGAUGGCGAAGGCAGGUCUCUGGGCUGACACUGACGCUAAUGCACGAAAGCGUGGGGAGCAAGCAGG